rnacentral:lncRNA from 1 species
GAGUCUGCAAGCCCAUUAAACUUUCUUGGAGGGAAGGAGUGAAUGAGUGAACAAGAAACAACAUAAAAGGAGGAAAACGAUAGAGUUUCAAUGUCUAAGAAAACUCCGUGAAGAUUCUUUGGUUUACUAAUCAAAGCGAUGGCUCUGGCGAGCCCUAGUGAGUCUGAACGAAGCCAGAUCUUUGUGACGCCAAGAUGAAUGGUGUGUGAUAGUGCUACUCAAACGGCUAGAGCUUCCGCUACUAUAGCUGAUUGAACAUGGGUCUGAAAUUGUGAUCCAUGAAGCGUUGAAGUUUCUUGAUCUGAGAAGAUCUAUCCCAUGCAUGUUUCCUUCGAGCUCUGAUUCCGAGCAGCUACAUCGAAUCGUCCCCUGAGGCAUAGAUGGCAGUAGAGGUAAACAUGGUACCUUUAUAUUAUUGUUUGAUGUAUCCAAGGUCAAUUGAGC